rnacentral:rRNA from 1 species
AAUGAACGCUGGCGGCGUGGAUUAGGCAUGCAAGUCGAACGCGAAAGUUCCCUUCGGGGAGCGAGUAGAGUGGCGAAAGGGUGAGUAAUGCUUGGAUGACCUGCCCUCGAGACGGGGACAACAGUUCGAAAGGACUGCUAAUACCCGAUAGUCCGGUUUAGAUGCGUCUAGAUCGGUAAAUAGGUGCUUCCGCUCGAGGAAGGGGUUCGAAGUCCUAUCAGCUUGUUGGUGAGGUAACGGCUCACCAAGGCGAUGACGGGUAGCCGGACUGAGAGGUUGGCCGGCCACAUGGGAACUGAGACACUGUCCUGACUCCUACGGGAGGCUGC